rnacentral:rRNA from 1 species
AUUGAACGCUGGCGGCAUGCUUUACACAUGCAAGUCGAACGGCAGCGCGGGCUUCGGCCUGGCGGCGAGUGGCGAACGGGUGAGUAAUGCAUCGGAACGUGCCCAGUAGUGGGGGAUAGCCCGGCGAAAGCCGGAUUAAUACCGCAUACGACCUGAGGGUGAAAGCGGGGGACCGAAAGGCCUCGCGCCAUUGGAGCGGCCGAUGUCGGAUUAGCUAGUUGGUGGGGUAAAGGCUUACCAAGGCGACGAUCCGUAGAUGAUCUGAGAGGACGACCGGCCAAAGUGGGAAUGAGACACGGCCCAGACGCCUACGGGAGGCAGCAGUAGGGAGUCUGCGGCAAUGGACGAAAGUCUGACCGAGGAACGUCGCGUGAGUGAAGAAGGGUGUCGGAUCGUAAAACUGGGGUGGUAGAGAAGAACGUUGGUGAGAGUGGAAAGCGCAUCAAGUGACGGUAACUAACCAGAAAGGGACGGCUAACUACGUG